rnacentral:lncRNA from 1 species
UUCAAAUCAAAAUAUUCAUAACUUAACAGCCUUGAUUAUGGCCAACGUUUAACCCCCAUUAGUGGGAUCCACUAAAUACCAGCACACAAUCUCCACUGAUAGGAUCCACUGAAUACCAGCACACAACUCUCACUAGUAGAGUCUACUAAAUACCAGUGCACAACCCUCCACUAGCGGGGUCCACUGAGUAUCAAUGUAUGAUCUCUAUUGGUGGGAUCCACUGAAACAUAGUUAGGCUGAGAG